UACGUAGGGGGCAAGCGUUGUCCGGAAUCAUUGGGCGUAAAGCGCGUGUAGGCGGUCCGGUAAGUCCGCUGUGAAAGUCCAGGGCUCAACCCUGGGAUGCCGGUGGAUACUGUCGGGCUCGAGUCCGGAAGAGGCGAGUGGAAUUCCUGGUGUAGCGGUGAAAUGCGCAGAUAUCAGGAGGAACACCGAUGGCGAAGGCAGGUCUCUGGGCAUUAACUGACGCUGAGGAGCGAAAGCAUGGGGAGCGAACAGG
rnacentral:rRNA from 1 species